CUCAAGUAAUGGACAAUGACAACCGAGAUGCAAAUUCUGGUACUAUUGAAGUGCAGGAAGAGAAAACAGAGACCGUAGAGGAUGAGCUAUUAUAUGCCACAGUGAAUCAUUCAGGUGCUGGUGAAAACUCUGGUCCUGCAGUGAAGUUUGAAUCAGGAACGGAUU